GUGGGGAAUAUUGGACAAUGGGCGAAAGCCUGAUCCAGCCAUGCCGCGUGUGUGAAGAAGGCCUUUUGGUUGUAAAGCACUUUAAGCGAGGAGGAGGAGCUUCAGGUUAAUACCCUGGAUGCUUGGACGUUACUCGCAGAAUAAGCACCGGCUAACUCUGUGCCAGCAGCCGCGGUAAUACAGAGGGUGCAAGCGUUAAUCGGAUUUACUGGGCGUAAAGCGUGCGUAGGCGGCUAAUUAAGUCAAAUGUGAAAUCCCCGAGCUUAACUUGGGAAUUGCAUUCGAUACUGGUUAGCUAGAGUAUGGGAGAGGAUGGUAGAAUUCCAGGUGUAGCGGUGAAAUGCGUAGAGAUCUGGAGGAAUACCGAUGGCGAAGGCAGCCAUCUGGCCUAAUACUGACGCUGAGGUACGAAAGCAUGGGGAGCAAACAGGAUUAGAAACCCGAGUAGUCC
rnacentral:rRNA from 1 species